GGGUUGUGAGGUUAAGCGACUAAGCGUACACGGUGGAUGCCCUGGCAGUCAGAGGCGAUGAAGGACGUGCUAAUCUGCGAUAAGCGUCGGUAAGGUGAUAUGAACCGUUAUAACCGGCGAUUUCCGAAUGGGGAAACCCAGUGUGUUUCGACACACUAUCAUUAACUGAAUCCAUAGGUUAAUGAGGCGAACCGGGGGAACUGAAACAUCUAAGUACCCCGAGGAAAAGAAAUCAACCGAGAUUCCCCCAGUAGCGGCGAGCGAACGGGGAGCAGCCCAGAGCCUGAAUCAGUGUGUGUGUUAGUGGAAGCGUCUGGAAAGGCGCGCGAUACAGGGUGACAGCCCCGUACACAAAAAUGCACAUGCUGUGAGCUCGAUGAGUAGGGCGGGACACGUGGUAUCCUGUCUGAAUAUGGGGGGACCAUCCUCCAAGGCUAAAUACUCCUGACUGACCGAUAGUGAACCAGUACCGUGAGGGAAAGGCGAAAAGAACCCCGGCGAGGGGAGUGAAAAAGAACCUGAAACCGUGUACGUACAAGCAGUGGGAGCACGCUUAGGCGUGUGACUGCGUACCUUUUGUAUAAUGGGUCAGCGACUUAUAUUCUGUAGCAAGGUUAACCGAAUAGGGGAGCCGAAGGGAAACCGAGUCUUAACUGGGCGUUAAGUUGCAGGGUAUAGACCCGAAACCCGGUGAUCUAGCCAUGGGCAGGUUGAAGGUUGGGUAACACUAACUGGAGGACCGAACCGACUAAUGUUGAAAAAUUAGCGGAUGACUUGUGGCUGGGGGUGAAAGGCCAAUCAAACCGGGAGAUAGCUGGUUCUCCCCGAAAGCUAUUUAGGUAGCGCCUCGUGAAUUCAUCUCCGGGGGUAGAGCACUGUUUCGGCAAGGGGGUCAUCCCGACUUACCAACCCGAUGCAAACUGCGAAUACCGGAGAAUGUUAUCACGGGAGACACACGGCGGGUGCUAACGUCCGUCGUGAAGAGGGAAACAACCCAGACCGCCAGCUAAGGUCCCAAAGUCAUGGUUAAGUGGGAAACGAUGUGGGAAGGCCCAGACAGCCAGGAUGUUGGCUUAGAAGCAGCCAUCAUUUAAAGAAAGCGUAAUAGCUCACUGGUCGAGUCGGCCUGCGCGGAAGAUGUAACGGGGCUAAACCAUGCACCGAAGCUGCGGCAGCGACACUAUGUGUUGUUGGGUAGGGGAGCGUUCUGUAAGCCUGUGAAGGUGUGCUGUGAGGCAUGCUGGAGGUAUCAGAAGUGCGAAUGCUGACAUAAGUAACGAUAAAGCGGGUGAAAAGCCCGCUCGCCGGAAGACCAAGGGUUCCUGUCCAACGUUAAUCGGGGCAGGGUGAGUCGACCCCUAAGGCGAGGCCGAAAGGCGUAGUCGAUGGGAAACAGGUUAAUAUUCCUGUACUUGGUGUUACUGCGAAGGGGGGACGGAGAAGGCUAUGUUGGCCGGGCGACGGUUGUCCCGGUUUAAGCGUGUAGGCUGGUUUUCCAGGCAAAUCCGGAAAAUCAAGGCUGAGGCGUGAUGACGAGGCACUACGGUGCUGAAGCAACAAAUGCCCUGCUUCCAGGAAAAGCCUCUAAGCAUCAGGUAACAUCAAAUCGUACCCCAAACCGACACAGGUGGUCAGGUAGAGAAUACCAAGGCGCUUGAGAGAACUCGGGUGAAGGAACUAGGCAAAAUGGUGCCGUAACUUCGGGAGAAGGCACGCUGAUAUGUAGGUGAAGUCCCUCGCGGAUGGAGCUGAAAUCAGUCGAAGAUACCAGCUGGCUGCAACUGUUUAUUAAAAACACAGCACUGUGCAAACACGAAAGUGGACGUAUACGGUGUGACGCCUGCCCGGUGCCGGAAGGUUAAUUGAUGGGGUUAGCCGCAAGGCGAAGCUCUUGAUCGAAGCCCCGGUAAACGGCGGCCGUAACUAUAACGGUCCUAAGGUAGCGAAAUUCCUUGUCGGGUAAGUUCCGACCUGCACGAAUGGCGUAAUGAUGGCCAGGCUGUCUCCACCCGAGACUCAGUGAAAUUGAACUCGCUGUGAAGAUGCAGUGUACCCGCGGCAAGACGGAAAGACCCCGUGAACCUUUACUAUAGCUUGACACUGAACAUUGAGCCUUGAUGUGUAGGAUAGGUGGGAGGCUU
rnacentral:rRNA from 1 species